CCGCCGCCACCGCCACACCCGCCACACCCGCCGAGCCUCUCUUCCAGCUCUCCUACGAGAAACGCCCCUUCGGCCUCAACUGUGAUUACAAGCUGUGGGUGAAGUCGAUGUCGCUGGAGGUGGUGUACUGCGCGGCGGUGGCGCGAUGGGCGCAGCAGUUCGUGACGGCGCCGUGGGGGCCGCGCCGCACCAUCGCGCACGUGCGCGACCAGACGCGCGCGCGCCUCCUCACGCACUGGGAGCACAUGCUGCGCGCGCACCCGGGCGAGCGGCGGUCGUGGCAGGUGGAGCUGGACGUGUCGGCGCCGCAGAUCCUGUUCGUGGAGC